UGGCCUGACCUGCAAGUAAAUGGUAAGCAGAUUUAACUGUAUACAUACCGCGCUUUUCUGCACUCCAGGCCCAAAGAUCUUCUCGCAGCUUCCCUAGGGGAAUUUUUCGCACCGCCUUUUCAUCCAUCGGUAACAGAUUAUCAUGCAAAGCUUGGCUAUUCCAUGUUAGGCCAUCUGAAGAAAUAAGAUCACACACCUUUUCUGCUUUUGCCUCUGGUUUUCUAUAGAUUGGCCUAAAACCUGGAGCUUCAGGAAUCCACUUGUCAUCCCAUAUACUAGUGGAAGUGCCAUUACCAAUUCUUCUAAUUAACCCUGCACGUAAUACUUCCCUUCCUCUUAAAAUUGCUUGCCAAGUGUGAGAGCUACCUCUUUUCUUUUUUGCUGUCAACAAACUGCCUUCAUGAAAAUAUUUGCCUUUAAGAGUUCUUGCGCAUAAGGAAUCUGGUCUGGUAAUUAAUCUCCAUCCUUGCUUCCCGAGCAUGCCCAAGUUAAACAAGUGGAGAUCUUUGAAUCCCAUUCCUCCUCCCUUCUUAGCAUGGGCAAUUUCUGACCAUUCCUCCAAUGCAUCUUUUUCUUAUCUUCAUCUCCUCCCCACCAAAAUCUAGAAAUGGACGAAGUCAUCUUCUUGCAAGUUGUUUUCGACAACUUGAAACAGCUCAUGGAAUAUGUGGGACUGAUUGAGCAACAACUUUUAUGAGUAUUUCCCUUCCCGCUGCACUAAGCUUUCUCUCGCACCAGUCCCCCACCAGAUUGUUUAUUUGCGUGCUUAAUUUUUCAAAAGCCUUGGUACUUGACUGCCCUAGAGCUGUCGGUAGUCCUAGGUACCUCUCCUCUAGGGCCUCUUUAUCUAUGUUCAGCACUUGAGUUACUUCCUUCUUGCUUUCUUGGCAAUUUUUACUGAAGAAAAUUGCUGUUUUGUACGGUUUACUAGUUGCCCGGAUCCUCUAUUAUAG
rnacentral:lncRNA from 1 species